rnacentral:rRNA from 1 species
UACGAAGGGGGCUAGCGUUGCUCGGAAUGACUGGGCGUAAAGGGCGCGAGUAGGCGGUUUGUACAGUCAGGCGUGAAAGCCCCCGGGCUCAACCUGGGAAUGGCGUCUGGGACGGGGUGGCUAGAGAUCGGGAGAGGAGCGUGGAAUUCCCAGUGUAGAGGUGAAAUUCGUAGAUAUUGGGAAGAACACCGGUGGCGAAGGCGGCGCUCUGGACCGAGACUGACGCUGAGGCGCGAAAGCGUGGGGAGCAAACAGG